GCUGAACUCGUUGCACACUUCAGCCUCCUACGGACGUAUCCUUCACAUGCCGAAGAGAAAGUUUCAAUGCUCCAUGGCGCCGAGUUUCGGUCGCCUUGGGAUGGCCACGAACAUUCCAUCGUCCGCAUACAAGCCCAUGCAUGAGUACCAAAUUCUUCGAGUUAGCAAUUCCCCUCACCUCUGUGAGCUUUGCAUAACUCUUUUGGUCGUUGAGCAACUCAUUCCACCU
rnacentral:lncRNA from 1 species